GCUGCUGCUGUUGCUGCUGCGACGCCGAGGACGAGCCGGCGGUCAGGCCGUCCAGCACCUUCCUGAUGUUGAAUUUCCUCAUGGUCUCGGAGGGGCUCCCCCGCAGCCCGGGAGGGGAGGCACAGGGGGUCCCCGGGCGGGGGAGACCACCCGGGGCCGAAGGCAGCUUCGACCGCGGAAACGGAGGAGUGGGAGUGUGAGGAGAAAUAUGCAAUGAUGACAUUUCCAAGAAGUGAUGGCAUCUGGCGCUAAGGACAAAGAAUGGGAUUUUGCCACAGGGAUCUUAUUCUCCCACAUGUUCUGUCUGAAGGAGAAAGUUAUCUGAGGCCUUAUAUGAUGCAAAACUUUGGACUCAAAGAAAUUAAAUCACUUGCCCAAGGUUACAUAGCUGCCCCUGGCAAACACCAUUCUACUUUCCGUCUCUAUGAAUUUGACUACUCGAAGUACCUCAUGUGAAAUGUUGGUGCCAAAUGAACUUUUCUGGUUCUUCUGAAUAUGCCACUGUUGCUGGAGAAAUGUCACUGCUAGAGAACAGAAGACUAUUAUUCCAAAGGGUAUUUGAGACUGACUGAAUCAGGUCUGGAACAUUAUUGAAAUGAGACCCACAAAAGAAGAGAUACUGAGGUGGUGACCAGAUGGAUAUAAACGGGCUGUGGAAAAAGAGAAUGCAUGGCCAAAAAUGGUGGUGCUCUCUGUCCAAAAACUGAGGCCCUAUGACCAUGAAUGAAGCCAGAGGGCAGGUAGGAAUAGAUCAUUUGCUCCAGAAGAAGCUGGUUGCCAUGUCUUGAGGACAGUAAACCCUCUGGGGAGGUUCCUGUGGUAAGGAACAAGGGCUCCUGGCAAUAGCCUCUGAGUGAGCCACCUUGAAAAUGGAUUGUCCAGCCCCAGUCAAGCUUUCAGAUGACUGUAGCUCCUGCCAAUGUCUUCACCACAACCUCAUGAGAUCCCAAGCUACAACCACUCAGUUAAGUUAUGCCAAAAUUCCUGAUUCACAGAAAUUGACAUACAGGAGAGGUCACAGUUAAGAUCUUGAUGUUCUAUCUUGACCCAUAAUAUAGGAACUUCAUCUUUUGGGAAGCACCAGGGAGAGCUGCCUGUGCCUGGCAGAAGCUGCCCAUGCCCCACUGAUACCCCACAGUACUUCCUGUUCUGCUUAGUACUCCUGCUUCUUUCUACAAACAACUGUGAUUCUCUACCUGGGAGCUUCCUCUGGCCACAGGAGCCUGCUCACCUGAUUGGGACACCCUAGCAGUACUGGCUCAUAGAUGGAAGGGACUUGCCUUGUCGCUGAUGAGACUUUCGACUUGGACUUUUGAGUCAAUGCUGGAAUGAGUUAAGACUUUGGGGAACUGUUGGAAGGGUGUGAUUGUGUUUUGAAUUGUGAGGACAUGAGAUUUUGAAGAGGCUAAUGGCAGCGUCCCCACCUAAAUCUCUUCUUGAAUUGUAGUUCCCAUAAUCCCCACGUGUCGUGGGGUGGAGCCGGUGGAGAUAAUUGAAUCAUGGGAACACUUUCCCCCAUGCUGUUAUUGUGAUUGUGAAUUCUCACGAGAUCUGAUGGUUGUAUAAACGCCUUCCCUCUUCGCUGGGCACUCAUUUUUCUCCUUCCUGCCACCAUGUGAAGAAGGAUAUGCUUGCUUCUUGUGCCAUGAUUACAAGAACACACUCAGAAAUUUUCUCAACACAGUUUCUAUGCAGAGAAGAGAUGUGGGACAGAUUUGAACUGCUGUCAUAUUUGUAUGAACCCAAGACAUUUUCCAAGACCAAGAGGGAUAAAGACAGCAAUUUCUAUGACUGGCAUUUUACGUGCAUGCACUGUUUCCAAGUGUUCUUGUGUUCUGUGCCUUAAACAUUCUGUGUUGCAACUUUAUGAAUUGAAUUAAAGAUAAUCCCAAGCCCCCAAUUGUCUCAAAAAGUGAAAAAGUAAAUGUUAUAGAAAGAAAAGCGGGAAAAACUUUAAGCAUGAAAUAAAAGAUGGGUUGUGAUAAAAGAGGACUGAAGAAGGAAAAGGAAUGAAAGGUUCUGCCAUCCUUCAUGGCAGCCCACUCCACUUGGUAUGAGAUACUGCUCCCUUGGCUGAAAGUUAACUGCUGUACUCCCUCCACUUUCUAUAAAUGACUCCCUGUGCCUUUCCUUCACCACACAACUCACACUCUCUUCCUUCCUAGUGAGUCCACUAAGGCUUCACUGCAUUAUUACAUUUAUUUCAUUUAGGAAAAACUGACUUUAUUUUCCUUCAAAUUGUUUUUUAUUGUUUAUAUGAGCUUGGUUUUAUUGUCAUUCUAUUUUUCUCCAUGAAAAUAGAGAAAAAUAGGGUCGAAAGGUUAGGUUGGGUGGAAAGGAAUUAUAUUUUUUCUCACUAAAAUUGAUGUAAAUAUCGUUUUCAAUUGAAUGAUUUUACACAGUGGCACAGUUUCAGGUAUGUUGCUAAGCAGGAAAGUUGUUAACCAAAGCAUGAAUGUAUUAAGGAGAUGUAUGCAGAAUGACAUGCAAGGUUAUCUAUGAUUGCUGAGUGAGAAAGAGCAAGUUGCUGAGUAUUAUAUAAGUAUGAUCUCACUUUUGUAAAAAAAAAAAAAAAAAAAGGCCUGGACUGAUCUGAAAUGACCCUAUUAAUAACAAUUAUGUCCAGGUCUGUAUUGCAUACUUGUCAUUCAUUACAGGAUCUUGAGACACAAUGCAAAGGAUCACAUCGCAGCUCUGUAACUUGUUAACUAUAAGAUUUUGAGUAACAUAACACCUUACUCCUUAAAAUUGCUUAAAAAAAAUCUGAACAUCAGGAAUAUUCUACUUCACAGGGUCGUUGUGAUAAUUAAAUGUAGUAAUCAAUGACAAUAGUGCCAGAUACAGUAGAUAGCCUACACUUUGCAGCUACUAUUUCUAUCUAUCAUCCAUCUAUUAAUAUAUAUCAUCUAUCUUUAACUUAUCAUCUAUCUUGUUCCAGUUUUUUAAAAUGAACAUGUAUUAACUUUGUAAAAAAUUAAGGCUAUAAGAUGUGCUGAGCUUUUGGAAUAGAUUUUCCUGUACUAUAUAUGACUGCCAGUGGGAGAAUUUGAAUAAAUGUGUAAAUUUGACUAAA
rnacentral:lncRNA from 1 species